rnacentral:rRNA from 1 species
AUUGAACGCUGGCGGCGUGCCUAACACAUGCAAGUCGAGCGGUAACGCGGGAGCAAUCCUGGCGACGAGCGGCGAACGGGUGAGUAAUGUUUCGGAAUCUACCCAUGGGUAGGGAAUAACCAACCGAAAGGUUGGCUAAUACCGCAUAAGUCCUACGGGGGAAAGCGGGGGAUCGCAAGACCUCGCGCCGAUGGAUGAGCCGAAACCGGAUUAGCUAGUUGGUAGGGUAACGGCCUACCAAGGCGACGAUCCGUAGCUGGUCUGAGAGGACGACCAGCCACACUGGGACUGAGACACGGCCCAGACUCCUACGGGAGGCAGCAGUGGGGAAUAUUGGACAAUGGGGGCAACCCUGAUCCAGCGACGCCGCGUGUGUGAAGAAGGCCUGCGGGUUGUAAAGCACUUUUAGUGGGGAUAAAAAGCUCAGGGUUAAUACCUCUGGGUCUUGAUCUAACCCACAGAAAAAGCACCGGCUAACUCUGUGCCAGCCGCCGCCGUAAUAC